AAUCGCAUGCACUGGGGCUGCUUCAUCUCUUCUCUGCGAUCUCUCUCUUCGGAAAUCCAAGCUUCAUCUAUGUCACCAGAUCGGAAUCUGGGCGUCUCAUCUCUGCCCAGGCCGAGAUGCAACAGCCAGAGGAGAGGAGAUAGAGAGACAGCGGUGCUUCGAAGGCAAAAAGGUGUCAGUUCAGAAGACUAGGCCGAAGCUGACCUCGCCCACGUCCUCCGCCACUUCACUCGCGCUUUCAAGUACCGUGGCCUCGGAAACGAGCAGUUUUUGGAGGUUAGAGAUUUGGGGAACUUAAUUGGGUUGUACACCGAAUGGCACUCACGUUUGCUCCCAUAUUAUUCUUUUGAUCAGUUUGUUCAUGAGAUGAGGUCGAACAGGUUGCCGCCACUAGACAAGUAAAAAAAAUUGAGAGAAAGAGUUGCGAGUGGAGGAGACCCGACAAAGUUGCAUGAACCAGCAGUCGAACAAGGCUCUCCAAAUGAUCAACAGGGAGGAACCCUCUGAGACUUUGCAUGGUGAUAUGGUUGCUCCUAGUAUAUCUGCAGCAGGUAGUUUUCAGAAAGAAUUAACCAACCAAGUUCCAAAUAAUGAAGGUUGUGAAUCUAGUGAAAAUCAUGACAGAUGAACAGAGCACGAAUGAAAGCUAGCAGAUUUAAGGUCCUUGAGAAAGAUGCAGCUAGGCGCCGCCAAUUGCAGGUGGCUUGAGGUUUUGGUUUUCUUCUGUUGUGUUCUAAAUUAUGUUUCAUUGUGUUGAGCUGUGGAUGGCAAUUGAACUCAUGGAUAUAGGCAUCAAGGCAGAACGUUCUGUCUUGAUAUUCUUUCUUUGU